UAUGUCUGAGGAUGUGUGACUCAUGAGCUUUAUAUAAUUCCAGUAACACUAAUAACUGAUAAGAAAGGAGUUCUGAAAAUCCUGUUAUGCUGGGACUCAGUGUUGUAUUUGCUGUAUUCUUUUGAGCAACAGAGAAAUGUCAUUAUUCUCAGAGCAAGGGACACUGAGUUUCUAAGAAGAAACAUGUCUUCUCCAAUCUCUGAGGCUGUUCUGGAAUACAAACAAAACAAUAGGAGCUGAGGUUUUGUCACGAAGCACAAACUGGCCAUGAUGCAGAAACAAAACUACAAGCAAAUGUGUAGAGGGAGGAACAAUGAGAUUUCUUGUUGGACUUUAACAGAGGCAAUAAGGACUGUGAAGAAGCAUGCUGGAUUGAACAACCCUGUGGCACACAGCAUGGGAUAAUUGCCAAACACUGCCUGCAUCAUCUGCUCUGACGACAGCAGUUCCAGGCUGCCCUAAAGGUUUGAGGUGCCAUCGGAUCCCACCCGGAGGCUGCAGUUCCACCUUUUCUCUGAGCUGAUCUCCACACCAGCACCCAUUCCCUGCCGCUGUUCCCUCUGGGGCCAGCACUACUCUCGUGUAGUUGCACUUUUCCAAAUCACAACAGAACCCCUCUCCUUGCCCCUCAAAACCACAGCAGUUGCUUCAGCUGACAGAGCAUGGAGCCAUGUAGUGUUACUGCUGGCAGCGAGGGUGGAGCAAGAAAAGUAAAUAAUUUUUUUUAAAAAGUAAAAAAAGUACAUGCCAGUCAUUAAGCCGUGUAAAGUAAGCAUGGAAUUGCAGCUUGUGAAGUGUAUGUAUAUAUAUUUAUUACAUUUUACCAAUGAACCAGCCUGUUUAGCCUUGACAUGACUUUUAAGAAGACUGUUCUUGAAUGGAAGAUUGUUCUCCCCCACUUCCUCCUCCCACUCAAACAUUACCGUUAAAGUCUCUUGGUAGCCACCUGUAAGCCCCUGUCAAUAUAAAGUCGAA